GUGAAGGCCGCCAAGGGAAGGAGUGGGGGAUUUGGCACAAGGCUGGUGAUUGAGUCUAUGCUCUCUCCUCCAUGGAAAGAACUAAAUUCAGCUUGACAGAGAGCACACGAAUGGUUUCAGCUUGACAACAAAUGUAUGAAACUUCUUAGCUGUGGACGACAACUACUUCCUUGAGAAGGACCAGCAUCACCCAUCAAGUAUGCCAUCGAGGGCGACGACCGAAGGCAUGAUGAUAGUUCUAUUGUUGUUCUAGUG